rnacentral:rRNA from 1 species
GAUGAACGCUGGCGGCGUGCCUAGUACAUGCAAGUCGAGCGAACAGAUGAGGAGCUUGCUCCUCUGACGUUAGCGGCGGACGGGUGAGUAACACGUGGAUAACCUACCUAUAAGACUGGGAUAACUUCGGGAAACCGGAGCUAAUACCGGAUAAUAUAUUGAACCGCAUGGUUCAAUAGUGAAAGACGGUUUUGCUGUCACUUAUAGAUGGAUCCGCGCCGCAUUAGCUAGUUGGUAAGGUAACGGCUUACCAAGGCAACGAUGCGUAGCCGACCUGAGAGGGUGAUCGGCCACACUGGAACUGAGACACGGUCCAGACUCCUACGGGAGGCAGCAGUAGGGAAUCUUCCGCAAUGGGCGAAAGCUUGACGGAGCAACGCCGCGUGAGUGAUGAAGGUCUUCGGAUCGUAAAACUCUGUUAUUAGGGAAGAACAAAUGUGUAAGUAACUAUGCACGUCUUGACGGUACCUAAUCAGAAAGCCACGGCUAACUACGUG